rnacentral:rRNA from 1 species
AAUGAACGUUGGCGGCGUGGAUUAGGCAUGCAAGUCGUGCGAGAAGUCUUUUGCUUGCAUUAGACGGAAAGCGGCGAAAGGGAGAGUAACGCGUGGGUACCUACCUCUAGGUUCGGGAUAGCUGCGGGAAACUGUGGGUAAUACCGAAUAACAUCUCCGGAUCAAAGGUGUGAUUCCGCCUGGAGACGGGCCCGCGUCCUAUUAGCUUGUUGGUGGGGUAAUGGCUUACCAAGGCAAUGAUGGGUAUCGGGCGUGAGAGCGUGACCCGACUCACUGGGACUGAGACACUGCCCAGACACCUACGGGUGGCUGCAGUCGAGAAUCUUCGGCAAUGGGCGCAAGCCUGACCGAGCGACGCCGCGUGCGGGAUGAAGGCCCUCGGGUUGUAAACCGCUGUCAGUUGGGAGGAAAUCACAUGGGGUUCUCUCCAUGUGUUGACCUAUCUUCAGAGGAAGGGCGGGCUAAGUUCGUGCCAGCAGCCGCCGUAAAAC